rnacentral:tRNA from 1 species
AGAUAUAUAGCUCAGUUGGUUAGAGUACUGCACUGGAAUAGCAGAGCCGCAGGUUUCAUUCCUGCCAGUCAG